rnacentral:lncRNA from 1 species
GGAUACUUAUUAUAGAAUGCUGGUUGUUAUGGUGAUGAGAGAUGGGGGAAACCAGGCCGAUUGUACACUGUGAAUGAAGGUUUAAUCUAUGUCAUCCUUUGUCACAGGUCAUCCUGUUGCCUGGGAUGAAGUGUCACAUAGUUUGAAUCCACAUUGCUUGCUGACUUCAUGGGGUGAAUGAACUUUUCCAAGAUUCUGGAAGCCUAUUGUAAUUUGUGUUCUCUACAUUUUCCUGAGGUCCCAGGGAUGCCGUGACUACUAAGCUCUAUGGUAGGAGUUGGGGCAGGAGGAAACAACUUUAGAAGACACCUGUGUGUCCCUCCCUGCUUGCAUCUAGCUUCUUCGUCUGCCCAGGUGGACUGCUCUUACCGUUGCAAAUCUGGGAGCACUCAGUUGUGGAACCCAGCCACCAUGUUGUGAAGAAGCCCUGUGCAGUGGUCCAAGUGACCAGGAGUCAAAGCUCCCAGCCAAUAGCCAGCACUAACUUGUCAGCAGUGUCAUGGAGCCCACUUGAAAGAGGAUUCUAAUUAUGCUGCCCAAGCUGUGGCCACAUGGAGGAGAGAUAUACAGUCCCUGCUGAACCCUGCUCUAAUUACAGGGAGACUUGAAAACCAGUGGUGGCGAGACUCCAAGACUAUUAUUUUUAUUUCCGGACAAAAACAUCUGCUUCACACAGUGCACGGCAUCAAAUGAAGAGGAAAGAACUUGUAUCCCAAAGCCUGGCUUUCUGUAUCAUCCACAAAUUAAGACAGCAUCUGCUGAGCCCAUGCUGAGCCUGUCACAGUCAACAACUGGGAAACCGGGGCCUCUACUGAACCAGGGGACAAGUAGCCGAAGCACUUAAACAGCUUGAUACUUGUUUUUUGGUACAUUUGUUUAUUUAAAGCACAGGAAAUGAAUAAAAUGCCACCUAAAAAGUA